AGCAGCCGCGGUAAUUCCAGCUCCAAUAGCGUAUAUUAAAGUUGUUGCAGUUAAAAAGCUCGUAGUUGAAUUUCGGGGCCAGUAGGUUGGUCGUGCCACUGGUAUGCACUGGCCUUAUUGGUCUCUCCCUCUUGAAGAACCGUAAUGCCAUUAAUUUGGUGUUGCGGGGAAACAGGACUGUUACUUUGAAAAAUUAGAGUGUUUAAAGCAGGCUUUAGCUUGAAUACAUUAGCAUGGAAUAAUGAAAUAGGACGUUUGAUCCUAUUUUGUUGGUUUCUAGGAUCGACGUAAUGAUUAAUAGGGAUAGUUGGGGGCAUUAGUAUUCAAUUGUCAGAGGUGAAAUUCUUGGAUUUAUUGAAGACUAACUACUGCGAAAGCAUUUGCCAAGGAUGUUUUCAUUAAUCAAGAACGAAAGUUAGGGGAUCGAAGACGAUCAGAUACCGUCGUAGU
rnacentral:rRNA from 1 species